AAAUAAAACAAUAUAAAAUGGCAUACGACAAUUUAGAUGCAUGGCAAAGACGCCAAUUGUAGAUCCGUAGAUUUCCGAAUGGGGCAACCCAAUAGUUUGAAGAACUAUUACCACGCAAAAGCGUUGGAGCAAACCCGGAGAACUGAAACAUCUAAGUACCCGGAGGAAAAGAAAACAAAAGUGAUUCCGUAAGUAGUGGCGAGCGAACACGGAGAAGCCCAAACCAGGGUUGUUACGGCAAUACUGGGGUUGUAGGACAGCUUUUUAGAAUAAAGAGGAAUAAGAAAGACUUGGGAAGGUCUGCCAAAGAAGGUGAUAGCCCUGUAUUAGUACAAUCUUUAAACGUAGCUGUAUCCUGAGUAGGGGGGGACUGGAGAAAUCCCCUUUGAAACUGCCGGCACCAUCCGGUAAGGCUAAAUACUAACAAGAUACCGAUAGUGAACGAGUACUGUGAAGGAAAGGUGAAAAGUACCCCGAGCAGGGGGGUGAAAAGACCCUGAAACCAUACACUUACAAGCGGUCGGAGCAGCGCGAUGCUGUGACGGCGUGCCUUUUGCAUAAUGACCCUACGAGUUACUCUUCCUGGCAAGAUUAAGGUUUAUAGAACUGGAGUCGGAGCGAACGCGAGUCUUAAUAGGGCGUUUAGUCAGUGGGAGUAGACGCGAAACCUUGUGAUCUACCCAUGGCCAGGUUGAAGGUGUGGUAACACACACUGGAGGACCGAACGAGUUUACGUUGAAAAGUAUUUCGAUGAGCUGUGGGUAGGGGUGAAAGGCUAAUCAAACUGGGAAAUAGCUCGUACUCCCCGAAAUGUUUUUAGGAACAGCGUCGUGGUUGAGUUUCAUGCAGGUAAAGCUACCAAUAGGACUAGGGGGAGUCAAAUCCUACCAAAUCCUGAUGAACUCUGAAUGGCAUGAAAUAUACACGGCAGUGAGGGCCGGGGUGCUAAGGUCACGGUCCGAGAGGGAAAGAACCCAGACCAACAGUUAAGGUCCCCAAAUCUAUACUAAGUUGAACAAAGGAGGUCUGAUUGCAGAGACAGCCAGGAUGUUAGCUUGGAAGCAGCUAUUCAUUUAAAGAGUGCGUAACAGCUCACUGGUCGAGCGAGGCGGGCAUCGAUAAUAAACGGGCAUCAAGUAUAGUACCGAAGCUUUGGAUUAUGUAUUUUAUACAUACUGGUAGGGGAGCAUUCUCAUUGCAGCGAAGGAUAGUCGACAAGGCUUACUGGAGCGAUGAGAAAAGCAAAUGUAGGGAUGAGUAACGAUAAUGCGGGCGAGAAACCCGCACGCCGAAAAGUCAAGGUUUCCUCAGCUAUGCUAAUCAACUGAGGGUUAGUCGGGGGCUAAGGGUUUAGCGACAGCGAAGACUUAAUGCACAUCAGGUUAAUAUUCCUGAACUUACUAUUAGGGAAACACAAUGACGGAGAUUCGUGGUUGGCAGGUACUGACGGAAUAGUGCCUUUGAGAAGAAGCCGCAAGGCAGAAACGAGUCAGCGAAGAGACUUCCAAGAAAAGUUGUGAAUCUAUACUUAAUAGUAACCCGUACCGUAAACCGACACAGGUGACUGGGAAGAAUAUUCUAAGGCGCUCGAGUGAAUCACGGCUAAGGAACUCGGCAAAUUAACCCUGUAACUUCGGGAUAAAGGGAGCCUCCUCGCAAGAGAGGCCGCAGAGAAUUGGUCCAGGCGACUGUUUAACAAAAACACAUGGCUUUGCAAAAACGAAAGUUGACGUAUAAGGCCUGACACCUGCCCGGUGCUGGAAGGUUAAGAGGGGAUGUUAGCGCAAGCGACGCAUUGAAUCGAAGCCCCAGUAAACGGCGGCCGUAACUAUAACGGUCCUAAGGUAGCGAAAUUCCUUGUCGGGUAAGUUCCGACCUGCACGAAUGGUGUAACGAUCUGGACACUGUCUCAGCCGUGAGCUCGGUGAAAUUGUAGUAACGGUGAAGAUGCCGUUUACCCGCAACGGGACGGAAAGACCCCAUGAACCUUUACUAUAGCUUAGCAUUGAGUUCUGAUACUGGAUGUGUAGGAUAGGUGGGAGACUGUGAGAUGGCGUCGCUAGGCGUCAUGGAGUCAACGUUGAAAUACCACCCUUCUUGUAUUGGGAUUCUAACUUAAAAAAGGACAUUGCUUGGUGGGUAGUUUGACUGGGGUGGUCGCCUCCAAAAGGAUAACGGAGGCUUUCAAAGGUACCCUCAGCACGCUUGGUAACCG
rnacentral:rRNA from 1 species